rnacentral:misc_RNA from 1 species
GCAAAAAGUGUGCCUAAAUUCCAUAGAGUGCUUUCUUAGAUAUUCUUCCAACUUGGAGACAUCCUCCCUCCUAAAAAUGUCCCACAACGCACCGCACAUCUCAUCUGUUUCAUCUGCAGUGGGCAAACCAGCGAGUCUAGCACCUCUUAGCUGAUCAUGGGAAAUCUCUCGUUUUUCACUAAUUUCAGAGGGGUAGUUCUCUAGCUCAGUAAUAUUUGAUACAUCCAUCUCUUUCCGACUACCACUGCAGUCACCAAUUUGCCCAAUGGGAUGAUGGUUUACCUUGUCAUGCUCCAAACGUUCUUUCUCAUCCUGUUCCAAAUGUUUCCUUUUGAGCUGUUGUAUGCCAGUGCGCUGUUCUUCACUUAAAGCUACCUCCGCAGUAUGUGUUAAAAUAUUCACCGCAUCCGACAUAUCACAAUGAAGUUUAGUUACCGAGUCCCCUCUGCCAAGCUCUUC